UACGUAGGGUGCGAGCGUUGUCCGGAAUUAUUGGGCGUAAAGAGCUUGUAGGUGGUUUGUCGCGUCUGCUGUGAAAAUCCGAGGCUCAACCUCGGACUUGCAGUGGGUACGGGCAGACUAGAGUCCGGAAGAGGAGAAUGGAAUUCCUGGUGUAGCGGUGAAAUGCGCAGAUAUCAGGAAGAACACCCGUGGCUAAGGCGGCUCUCUAGUACGGUACUGACGCUGAGACGCGAAAGCGUGGGGAGCGAACAGG
rnacentral:rRNA from 1 species